GGAGAUCAACGCUAUGGCAAAUAGUAGAGAGUGUCAAGUGGUAUGGGUUUGGCAUUGUCCUCAUCUAUUUAGUAACUUUGUCAAUAUUUCCAGGAUACAUUACUGAGGAUGUUCAUUCUUCCAUUCUCAAAGACUGGUACUCAAUUCUCCUCAUUACCGGCUACAACGUGUUCGAUCUUGUUGGCAAGUCCCUCACUGCAGUUUAUGUUAUUC
rnacentral:misc_RNA from 1 species